rnacentral:rRNA from 1 species
CGGCGUGCCUAAUACAUGCAAGUAGAACGCUGAAGACUUUAGCUUGCUAAAGUGGAAGAGUUGCGAACGGGUGAGUAACGCGUAGGUAACCUGCCUACUAGCGGGGGAUAACUAUUGGAAACGAUAGCUAAUACCGCAUAACAGCAUUUAACACAUGUUAGAUGCUUGAAAGGAGCAAUUGCUUCACUAGUAGAUGGACCUGCGUUGUAUUAGCUAGUUGGUGAGGUAACGGCUCACCAAGGCGACGAUACAUAGCCGACCUGAGAGGGUGAUCGGCCACACUGGGACUGAGACACGGCCCAGACUCCUACGGGAGGCAGCAGUAGGGAAUCUUCGGCAAUGGGGGCAACCCUGACCGAGCAACGCCGCGUGAGUGAAGAAGGUUUUCGGAUCGUAAAGCUCUGUUGUAAGAGAAGAACGUGUGUGAGAGUGGAAAGUUCACACAGUGACGGUAACUUACCAGAAAGGGACGGCUAACUACGUGCCAGCAGCGGC